rnacentral:rRNA from 1 species
UACGUAGGGUGCAAGCGUUAAUCGGAAUUCCUGGGCGUAAAGCGUGCGCAGGCGGUUUUGUAAGUCUGACGUGAAAUCCCCGGGCUCAACCUGGGAAUUGCGUUGGAGACUGCAAGGCUGGAGUCUGGCAGAGGGGGGUAGAAUUCCACGUGUAGCAGUGAAAUGCGUAGAGAUGUGGAGGAAUACCGAUGGCGAAGGCAGCCCCCUGGGAUGAUACUGACGCUCAUGCACGAAAGCGUGGGGAGCAAACAGG